AUACAAUCUUGGUCCGAUGAAAUUUUUCUCCCAAGAUAAGAUAUCAAAUCUUAGUCCGAUGAAUUUUCUCCUAAGAUAGAAAUCUUGGUCUGAUGAAAUUUUUCUCCCAAGAUAAUAUAAUAAAAUCUUAGUCGGAUGAAUCUUUCUCCUAAGAUCACAACAAAAUGGACCUAGUCUGACGAUUUAUCUCCUAGAGUCAAAAAUCUUGGUCUGAUGAAAUUUUUCUCUCAAGAUAAUAUAAUAAAAUCUUAGUCGGAUGAAUCUUUCUCCUAAGAUCACAACAAAAUGGACCUAGUCUGACGAUUUAUCUCCUAGAGUCAAAAUCUUGGUCUGAUGAAAUAUUUCUCCCAAGAUAAUAUAAUAAAAUCUUAGUCGGAUGAAUCUUUCUCCUAAGAUCACAACAAAAU
rnacentral:lncRNA from 1 species